rnacentral:rRNA from 1 species
AUUGAACGCUGGCGGCAUGCUUUACACAUGCAAGUCGAGCGGCAGCGCGGGGGCAACCCUGGCGGCGAGCGGCGAACGGGUGAGUAAUGCAUCGGAACGUGUCCCGUAGUGGGGGAUAACGCCGGGAAACCGGCGCUAAUACCGCAUAUGCUCUACGGAGGAAAGGGGGGGACCCGCAAGGGCCUCCCGCUAUGGGAGCGGCCGGUGUCCGAUGAGCUUGUUGGUGAGGUAAAGGCGUACCAAGGCGACGAUCGGGAGCUUGUCUGAGAGGAGGAUCAGCCAGACUGGGACUGAGACACGGCCCAGACUCCUACGGGAGGCAGCAGUGGGGAAUUUUGGACAAUGGGGGCAACCCUGAUCCAGCCAUGCCGCGUGCGGGAAGAAGGCCUUCGGGUUGUAAACCGCUUUUGUCCGGAAAGAAAAGGCAUUCCCUAAUACGGGGUGUUCUUGACGGUACCGGAAGAAUAAGCACCGGCUAACUACGUGCCAGCCGCCGCCGUAA